rnacentral:rRNA from 1 species
CGCCUCCUGCAAAAAUCAACGUAUAGGAGGUCUUGCCUGCCCAGUGACAAGUUAAACGGCCGCGGUAUUUUGACCGUGCGAAGGUAGCGCAAUCACUUGUCUUUUAAAUGAAGACCUGUAUGAAUGGUGGAACGAGGGCUUAACUGUCUCCCCUUUCAAGUCAAUGAAAUUGAUCUGCCCGUGCAGAAGCGGACAUAUAAAUACAAGACGAGAAGACCCUUUGGAGCUUAAGAUACAAGAUCAACUAUGUCAAGAGCCCUAAAAGUUAAACUAAAUAGCAACUGAUCCCUAUCUUCGGUUGGGGCGACCGCGGGAGAAAACAAAGCUCCCACGCGGACUGGGGUCAACCCCCUAAAACUAAGAAAGACAUCUCUAAGUCACAGAAUAUCUGACCACAAAGAUCCGGCUUACAACUGCCGACCAGCGGACCAAGUUACCCUAGGGAUAACAGCGCAAUCCCCUUUCAGAGUCCAUAUCGACAAGGGGGUUUACGACCUUGAUGUUGGAUCAGGACAUCCUAAUGGUGCAGCCGCUAUUAAGGGUUCGUUUGUUCAACGAUUAAAGUCCU